rnacentral:rRNA from 1 species
GACGAACGCUGGCGGCGUGCUUAACACAUGCAAGUCGAACGGAAAGGCCCUGCUUUUGUGGGGUGCUCGAGUGGCGAACGGGUGAGUAACACGUGAGUAACCUGCCCUUUACUUUGGGAUCACUUCAGGAAACUGGGGCUAAUACCGGCUAGGAGCACUUGCUGCAUGGUGGGUGAUGGAAAGUUUCGGCGGUUGGGGAUGGACUCGCGGCUUAUCAGAUUGUUGGUGGGGUUGUGGCUUACCAAGGCUUGGACGGGUAGCCGGCCUGAGAGGGUGACCGGCCACAUUGGGACUGAGAUACGGCCCAGACUACUACGGGAGGCAGCAGUGGGGAAUAUUGCACAAUGGGCGGAAGCCUGAUGCAGCAACGCCGCGUGCGGGAUAACGGCCUUCGGGUUGUAAACCGCUUUCGCCUGUGACGAAGCGUGAGUGACGGUAAUGGGUAAAGAAGCACCGGCUAACUACGUG